rnacentral:rRNA from 1 species
GACGAACGCUGGCGGCGUGCUUAACACAUGCAAGUCGAACGGUAAGGCCCUUCGGGGUACACGAGUGGCGAACGGGUGAGUAACACGUGGGUGAUCUGCCCUGCACUUCGGGAUAAGCCUGGGAAACUGGGUCUAAUACCGGAUAGGACUCCUGCCUGCAUGGGUGGGGGUGGAAAGCUUUUGCGGUGUGGGAUGGGCCCGCGGCCUAUCAGCUUGUUGGUGGGGUGAUGGCCUACCAAGGCGACGACGGGUAGCCGGCCUGAGAGGGUGACCGGCCACACUGGGACUGAGAUACGGCCCAGACUCCUACGGGAGGCAGCAGUGGGGAAUAUUGCACAAUGGGCGCAAGCCUGAUGCAGCAACGCCGCGUGAGGGAUGACGGCCUUCGGGUUGUAAACCUCUUUUAGCAGGGAAGAAGCGAGAGUGACGGUACCUGCAGAAAAAGCACCGGCUAACUACGUGCCAGCAGCCGCAGUAA